AGGGUUUAUCCUGGCUCAGGAUGAACGCUGGCGGCGUGCUUAACACAUGCAAGUCGAACGAAGAGAAUUAUCGGAAGUUUUCGGACGGAAGAUAAUAAUCUUAGUGGCGGACGGGUGAGUAACGUGUGGGCAACCUACCUUAUACUGGGGAAUAAUCACUGGAAACGGUGACUAAUACCGCAUAAUGUCUUUGACAGGCAUCUGUUAAAGAAGAAAGGAGCAAUCCGGUAAAAGAUGGGCCCGCAUCUGAUUAGCUAGUUGGUGAGAUAAUAGCCCACCAAGGCAUCGAUCAGUAGCCGACCUGAGAGGGUGAUCGGCCACAUUGGGACUGAGACACGGCCCAA
rnacentral:rRNA from 1 species